CACGGGGGGAGCAAGCGUUGUUCGGAAUCACUGGGCGUAAAGGGAGUCUAGGCGGUCAGGUAAGUGGAAUGUGAAAUCCCUCGGCUUAACUGAGGACGUGCGGAAGAAACUGCAAGGCUUGAGUCCGGGAGAGGGGGGUGGAACUGCGAGUGUAGAGGUGAAAUUCGUAGAUAUUCGCAAGAACACCAGUGGCGAAGGCGGCUCACUGGCCCGGUACUGACGCUGAGGUGCGAAUGCGUGGGGAGCAAACAGG
rnacentral:rRNA from 1 species